rnacentral:lncRNA from 1 species
AAUGGUAACAUUAUUGAAAUAAAUUAAUUUAAUAGCGAAAGUAUAACAAACAAACACAAAAGACUAAUUUAAACUUAAAACAGAACUUUGGAGUCUAAAUUACAAAUAAAUUAAAAAGGGAGUAGCCCGGGACUGAUAUAGAACGCGUUGAAGGCAUGAGAGACUAAUCGGAAAAUAUUUCCAACCCCAAAUGCGCAGCGUUUCAGCGCGGACUGAAAUGAAAAUAUCAAAAAAUUACACGGCCAAAAUAUAAAAACCACAAAGACUCGAUUGCACUACAGCUCAAAAGAGGAGGGGCCUUGUGCGCAAAUAGCCCAUUCAUGAAAACACGCGGAUCCCCCUGAAGCGGGUCGGAUUGCGCGCUGGUUAUGGGGGUUUAAACGGCGCCGUUUUGCAAUGUUAUUUAAACCAACAAAAUUUUUUUAUUUCAUUUUCUGUUUAAACUCAAAAAAACAAAGCAAAGUUCUUUCCCCCCUUUUAAUGAACCCAGAAACCGACCACUGUCUCGGCCGGUGAACGGCUGUGCUGAGGCCACGGCUCCAUCACUGGCGGUGGUCGGAGCGAGAAAAGGAGGGGUUUUUAACCCCGCUCUCGAUCCCCACCUAAAGAUCUGCCCUUUUAGUCCUGGAAAGAUGAAAAAGGAGGGGGCUUUUGUACCCUUACCAGUCGAUUCCAACGCCGAAAAUAGUCUCCGGCGACAGGCUUUCGAGACAGGUAAAUGUCCUUUUUCAUUUCUCUUUCGUUUUGUUUUUGGUUUAGAAGAAUAGAAAGAAAAAAAAUAUAAUAAACAAUAGAAGAUAGAAAUAAAAGAGCAAGAGCAGAAAAAAGAACUUUGGAAUCAACCUUUUUAGUUUUUCUUGAUCUGCUUUCAUUAACUAUUGUAAAAAGAGAAGAAGCCAAUACAGAAGGAAAAUUCGGCUUUUUAUAGCCGAUUUGUUUUCUAUUUUUCCUAUUAUUUUUGUUGUUUGCGUGUUGAUAUUUCUUCUGUAGGUCAUUGACAUGCGCCGGUGAUGGGACAGUGGCGGUGACAGACGAGCGGCAGUGGCGAUUCGUAGGUCAAGGGUCGGAAGAGUCAGAAGGCCCUAGGUGCUAAGGUUUUUCUGUUUCUUUGUUUUUUUGAAAAUGGGUUUUGGGCUUGUAAUUGUAUUGGGCCUGGGUUAAUUUGAUUGGGCCAUGGGGAUUUUGGGCUUGUAAUUGGGUCAAAAUUUUGUAAAUGGGCUGUUAGUAAUUUGGUUUAUUUUCUGGUAUGGCCCGGACAAAAAUAGGCUUGUACAAGCGACAUGUAAGAUUUUAAUUUAGUUUUUAUCAUGAAUAUUUCAUUUUUUACUAUAUUUUCAAUUUAAUAUUGUUAGUGUAUUUAUUAUUUU